rnacentral:sRNA from 1 species
GAAAAAACACAAAAAACAGAAAAGA